rnacentral:rRNA from 1 species
CCUACGGGUGGCAGCAGUGGGGAAUAUUGCACAAUGGGGGAAACCCUGAUGCAGCAACGCCGCGUGAGUGAAGAAAUAUUUCGGUAUGUAAAGCUCUAUCAGCAGGGAAGAAAAUGACAGUACCUAACUAAGAAGCCCCGGCUAACUACGUGCCAGCAGCCGCGGUACGAAGUAGGGGGCAAGCGUUAUCCGGCUUUACUGGGUGUAAAGGGAGCGUAGACGGCUGCGCAAGUCAGAAGUGAAAGCCCGGGGCGCAAGCGCGGGACUGCUUUUGAAACUGUGUAGCUAGAGUGCAGGAGAGGUAAGUGGAAUGCCUAGUGUAGCGGUGAAAUGCGUAGAUAUUAGGAGGAACACCGGUGGCGAAGGCGGCUUACUGGACUGUAACUGACGUUGAGGCUCGAAAGCGUGGGGAGCAAACAGGAUUAGAUACCCCAGUAGUC